rnacentral:rRNA from 1 species
UUGACAUCCAGAGAACUUGGCAGAGAUGCCUCGGUGCCUUCGGGAACUCUGAGACAGGUGCUGCAUGGCUGUCGUCAGCUCGUGUUGUGAAAUGUUGGGUUAAGUCCGCAACGAGCGCAACCCCUAUCCUUUGUUGCCAGCGAUUCGGUCGGGAACUCAAAGGAGACUGCCGGUGAUAAACCGGAGGAAGGUGGGGAUGACGUCAAGUCAUCAUGGCCCUUACGAGUAGGGCUACACACGUGCUACAAUGGCGUAUACAAAGAGAAGCGACCUCGCGAGAGCAAGCGGACCUCAUAAAGUACGUCGUAGUCCGGAUUGGAGUCUGCAACUCGACUCCAUGAAGUCGGAAUCGCUAGUAAUCGUAGAUCAGAAUGCUACGGUGAAUACGUUCCCGGGCCUUGUACACACCGCCCGUCACACCAUGGGAGUGGGUUGCAAAAGAAGUAGAUAGCUUAACCUUCGGGAGGGCGUUUACCACUUUGUGAUUCAUGACUGGGGUGAAGUCGUAACAAGGUAAGCGUAGCGAG